AUCCAAGACUAAAAAUGGAUGAAGAAGAAAUUGAAGAAGCAAUUCUUGCCCUUCAACUAUACAUAAUCCCUAUAUCAGCACUAGCAAAAACUCCGCAAAGGGUUAGGUCCGUGGAUGAAUACACAAAAGAGUUCUACCAACUGAUCGCUAGAAACAACCUAAUGGAGAAUGAGGAAUAGAUGGUUGCAUAAUACCUUGAUGGGCUAAGGCAGC
rnacentral:lncRNA from 1 species